ACAAAUGUAACAACAUUUAUAUACAAGUUACCUUGUCUCUCAAGGCAAGAACUUCUCCAGCAAAUUCCCAAAGAAAAAACUGGUUUUGGCCCACCCUCCUCCUGUUCCAGCUUGACCUUCUUCUUUCCAUCUCCUGCUAGGUACCUUGUUCUUCACGUUAAUCAUCAUACUGUGUCCAAUCUCUCCACGUAACGCCUCUAUCGUCUUCACGUCCACUGGAUUCCCUGAAGCAUCUCUCACAUAGAAAACGUUAACCGCUUGUUCUCCAACUGUUGUCACACCAGCUCGAGUCACUGAAAGACCAUGCUCUCUCAGAAUCCUAGUCACUUCAGACAGAAGUCCAACUCUGUCCUUUGCACAUAGCUCCAAACUCCAGCCCUAGAAAUAGUUUCAGACAAUAACUUAAAGAAAUUAUUGCUUGUAACGCGAGAAACACUAAAAGAAGAUGUAUGUGUUUAAGCGUUAACUUACGUAAAUAGAGUUCAGACAAUAACUUAAGGAACUGUUACUUCUAGUGAAAGAAGCAUCAAAAUAAGAUGUGUGUGUUUAAGGGUAAACUUACCUCACUGAAUUGAGUUUCAGACUAUAACCUAAGGAACUGUUGCUUCUAAUGCAAGAAACAUCAAAAGAAGAUGUGUGUGUGUGUUUAAUGGUUGGCUUGUCUCACUAAAAUUGAGUUUUAGACAAUAACUUAAGGAACUGUUACUUCUAUUAAAAGAAUAAAACUAAAAGAAGAUGUGUGUGGUUAAGGGUUAACUCACCUCUCUGAACUGAGUUUCAGCCAAAAUUAAGAAACUGUUACUUCUAGUGCAAGAAACACAAAAAGAAGAUGUGUGUGUUUUACCUCGCUGACUCUUCUAUGUAUUGCAGCUUCUAGGCAUUUGAUAACUCUCUCUUUCUCUCCUUCAGAGUCAAGAGUGCAACCAUCUUUGUGUCUGAUGAAAUACUCCUGAGAGGCAUGAGGACCGCUCGAUGUAAUCGUGGCGUGAAACACAAUGUACUGCAUAUCAGUAAGCGUGCAUACAAUGUCGAACAUCAGCUUAGCUCUAUCCUCACAGCUCACGCUUAUCACAGAGUAACCUUUCUCUUCACAAUGCUCAACAGUGAUCUUAGGCUCGAGUCCAGAACCAUCAACCUUACUCACUGCAUCAUAGUCUCUAUCAGCGAAAAGCAUCUGAUGAAGCCUACGGUCAACAUGAGUGGACCCAAUGGAGAGACUCGUCCGAGCAACUUUCUCAUUUUCUUGUUCAGACCCGCGUAUCACAAGGUUGAGCUGCUCUUCCAUUGCAGACAAUCUUUCUGGAUCAUCAACGGCUCUAGAGGUCUCGUUAUCAUUCACAUAGAGAACACAAGCGAUCCUACGGUUAUGAGUCCAUGCUUCAGCUGCCACUACAUUGAAGUGUAGGUCUGCUAGUACAGCUGAGAUCUCAGACAAGAGACCAGGACGGUCACGAGCAAUGAUCUCGAUUGAUGUGUGGUCGCCUAGUGAGUGGACACCGACUCUUUUACCUGGCCAAGUGUUUUGUGAAGACGCAGCAUGACCCUUUGGUCCUAACACCUGACAAGAAGUACAAGAAUCAUAUACUCCCUUUGUUCCACAAUGACACAUUUUUUACAGGUUUCACACAUAUUAAAAAUGAUUAAUGUAUAGCAAUAAAUAUCUUAAUUUUUGUGUAAAAAAACUUCCUAUAAAUUUAAACCAAUAGUUUUAAUCAUAACUACUUGAAUUUAACAUUUUUUUUACUUAUUAAAUAUGCAUACAAACUUUAAAAAAUCUAACUUAAAACAAAUUUUUACAGGUUUUUAUUACAUACCUUCUCGAUGUAAUCAAUUGUUUUGCUAUCAGUAACCUUGUUUCCUUGUUGAUCAGUGACAUGGAAAACUAUUAAAAAAUAUAUAUUUAAUUUUGUAUAUUUUUAAAAUAAAACUAUUAUUAUUAUACAUCUAGCAAUAUUUUAAUUAAUAGAAAAACAAACAAAGAAUAUUGUUAAUAAAUUUUGCAUUAAAAUUUUAAAACAAAUUUUUAUUCUAAAACAAUAUUUAAAUUGAAACGGAUACAGUAGUAACCAAGAAAUGACAUGGAAACAGCAAGCCGUUAACUUUUUCCCUAGUUUCGUGCAUACUUUAGACUAGGCUGUUAGCCUUAUCAUAGGCCGCACUCCAUGCCGUUUUCCACUAUUGCUUUUCGACUUUCCCACCUCUACUCUCCAUUAGUCUUCCCCAUUUCUAGGGCCUAGCCAUAACAGAAAUAUUAGCAAUAAAUGACGUUUGAGAUGAAACUAAUAAUGCAGUUUCAAACUUGGAGGUGGGCCUGAGCAUCGGGUUUCGGUUAUGUCCAAUCGGAUCUCGGUUAUUCGGAUUUAUCAAAAUCAGUCUCAUUCGGAUUAUAUGAAAGUUCGGUUCGAGACUGAUUCGGGUUCUAUCGGGUUCGAGUCGGAAUUAUUAAAUCUUCAAAGAACCGGUACAACCCGUUGUACUUUCGGAUUCGGCUCCCAAUCGAUUCUUCGGUUUAAAAAUACCUUAUUUGUAUUUACUUUGUAACCAUAACAUAAAUAAAAUCGGUUCUUCAGUUUUAAAGUACCUGAUUUACACCUAUUUUGUAACCAAAACAUAACUAAAAUCGAUUUAAAAAUAAGAGAGGAACAUCAAAAUAUUUAUUCAAAAUUAAACGAAAGGUAAACAUAGUUAUUGAUAGAAAGAAAAUCAAAUAAAUGAAAGCAUAAAACGAAAACCCAGUUCUCCUGAAAUGAGAAACAAUAUUCAAUGAAAACAAAACCAAAAUCUAAAAAUUUCAAGAUUGAAUCGUCACUUUCAACCAUCAACCUCCAUGUAAUAGAUAAUUAUUUUAGAUUUUUCAAUAAUAUCUUAGUGUACUUUUCGUUUACAUAUUAUCAAUUGAGAUCAUGUUUGGUACAAAAUAAUUUUUGGGAUUUUGAAUGUUUCGGGGCUUAUCGGAUAUCAAUUUAGGUUUGGGUUCGGUUCGGAUAACACUCAUAACCCAAAAUACCAUAAAAUAAGACUCAUUUGGUAUUUGUGUCGAGUUUGGAUCGGUUUGGAUUCAAUUUUAUCGGAUCAGGUUCAGUUCGGUUCGGAUUUUUGGGAUCGGUUUAUUUGUCCCGUCCUACUUGGAGGAAUUACGAACUUUGGUCCAUUGGUCCAUAAACUUCUAGUAAUUAAGAAAUAAACUCAUACACUCAUUGUCAUGGCCAAGUCAUACACUCAUACAAUACCUAUGUUUAGUCAAUCCUCAUUGUCAUGGCCAAGUCAGUGCACCAACUUAAUAAUUGAAUCACAACAUAGAUUCCUCAGAAAAAAAAAGUUACAUUAAAAAAUGACAAAUCUUAACAAAAUGGAUAUUAUACAUUUGGGACAAAGACAAUAAGGUCGCGAGGACCGAGUUUCAUAUACAAAAGCAAACCUUCCAACAGGAAAAGUUCCAUAUUAUUCUACCAUGUUCAAACGGUGCACUUCACGGUCAUACUAUGACUAAAGUAAAACCAAAAUCCCUGACCAAGUCAAAACACUCCCACUAGACCUUCUAGAUCAUACAUAUUACACAUUUUACAGUUCAUUUUUAUCCACACAAAUGUAACAACAUUUAUAUACAAGUUACCUUGUCUCUCAAGGCAAGAACUUCUCCAGCAAAUUCCCAAAGAAAAAACUGGUUUUGGCCCACCCUCCUCCUGUUCCAGCUUGACCUUCUUCUUUCCAUCUCCUGCUAGGUACCUUGUUCUUCACGUUAAUCAUCAUACUGUGUCCAAUCUCUCCACGUAACGCCUCUAUCGUCUUCACGUCCACUGGAUUCCCUGAAGCAUCUCUCACAUAGAAAACGUUAACCGCUUGUUCUCCAACUGUUGUCAC
rnacentral:lncRNA from 1 species